rnacentral:lncRNA from 1 species
UUUUUAAAACUUUAACAUUUGUAUCAACCUGAAGUCUCAUCAGAGGUAGCUGAGACAGGAGAUGCAAAAACUAUCUCUUUUACAUUCUCUGAGGUCUAAGAGCAAUAUCACAUAUGGUGUCCACAGUGGUAGGGGUUCCUUUUAUCAUAAUCUGAGUAAGGGGCAUCCCACGCAGGUCUGAUUUUCAUUGUCCCAUGACCUGUCCAGUACAGUCCAGGUUUGCAGCAUUUCCGCAGCUAGAGUAGACACGGACAUUUAAAUGACAAGGAAGGAGCAGAGGACCUACCUACCAGUCUCUAGUAGCUCCCCGUCUGAAUCUAUUCUAAUCAGCAAAGACUUCUCCUUGAACUAUCCCUAGGGAAGACAGCAGUCAAAGGAGGAUCCAGGAUAAGUGCAAUCAUCUCCACUGAACAGUAUUCAAAACCAGAGACACUGCUACUCGAUCUAAAACUCUCAGGAACCAUUUUAACAAAGGUCAUCAGGACAAUGCUUAUGACAGUCUAUAAAAGGCCUCUAUUUUGUUAGUGAAUAAUCUCUUACUUCAUUGCUUUCUUCCAUCACCAAUCAUCCUACUUGAAUUACCUUCGUAGUUGUAGUGGGCCUCAUAGGCUUAGCCAACCCAUCAGACUUUAUAGUGCCCACGUUCCUUUGGCUGGAGCUCCAUUUGUUAGUGAGAGAGGAUGAUGAAGCUCAAUUGAGGGAGAUUCUGGACUCUCAUUUCAGCUCAUGCUGAAAACAGCAACUAGGAACUGAUUUAGCUGACUUGCUAUCCAUUUGCUCGUCCUCUACUUUUGCUAGCUCCUGGCAUUCAGGCUGUCCUUUCUAUCACAGAAAGUCUACCUAUCAGUAAGUAACUGAUUUCAAAACUUGUGCUACUUUGAACCAAGAGUAGCUGGAACACCACCUCUGCAUCAAUGAAUGCUUCCUUUCCAUCCCCUUUGUCAGGAUUCUCCUUUUUCUUUCUAAAUAGUGCCUAUGUCAUAUUUUUAGCAAAAAAAAUGAGUCAAAAAUCUUCUAAGCUAUCCCACCUCUAACACCAAUUGCAACUGAAACAGGGUUCAACUAAGAAGACUGUUUGACCCCAAAAAACACCACUUAUAAAUCUAUUACUCACUAGGGGAAAAGGAUGCAAAACAAUGUGGAAGCAAGAAUUUGGAUCACUGUUAAAGACUGUCUCACAGCAAGGGUCUGUGGAGACCUGGUACAAGCUUGUUUUCUACCUUCUACAAUAAUUAUGGUUGUAAGCACUUUCUCUCUUAGAUAAGGAACCCCCUACACAUGCAUAAGACACCUUGGAACAAGGGAACCUAGGAGUCUCACUGGGAUUCCUAAUAUUUUGCUGGUUACACAUGCAUAUUCCUGGUACAAAACCAGCCUCAACAGCAGAGCUGUUGCAAGUCAGCAAUCACACUCUUACCAAUAAAUAAUGCUGACAGGCUGUUAAAAACCACCACAAAGCUCCUUGGGUCCAUGGUUAACAAAAAGCAACAUUCCUAAUCUGUAUGUUUCAUGGAUGGCAAACAGAGAGGUUACUGCCAGAUGGAAACUUUUAUUUUAUUUUAUUUAUUUUUUUUUUUUAAAGAUUUUAUUCAUUUAUUCAUGAGACUCACAGAAAGAGAGAGAGAGGCAGGGACACAGGCAGAGGGAGAA